CAUUGACUUGAAAUAUAAUGUGGAUUUCUUCCUUUAGACUGAAACUGAGUCCUUUUUUUUGCGAAUUUCAUCCGUUUCCUUGGAGCAAACACACCAGGAUCCGUAUCGAGCGGAUUCAGGCAACCAAAGGCUUUGUAACAACUAUUGGAAGAUGCCAAAUGUGAGGAAACACAUACGUAGAAACCGUUCGAGUGGAAAAGUGCUAGUAAAUCGAAGGACCUUUUGACAACAAUUAUUAUGCAUAUGCCCCCUUCUAAGCCAGGUUCAUUUAUUGGACUGUGACUGCUCACAGAGAAUCUAGCUCAUAUGUUACUGAAAAAUUGACACGACAUCAAUCACAGUUUCUAGAUGCAUUGAGCUAUUUCUGUUCGACAAAAGUUCGUUCGAUAAAGCCCAGAUAUCAUUCUCUCCCUUGUGUUCAAGGAAACAUGCCUAUGUUAAGCAUUUCCCCAGCCUCUCUAAUUUAACCCUUCUCCAUUCACAUGUGGUUUUCAAAAUAGGGCCAA
rnacentral:sRNA from 2 species